rnacentral:rRNA from 1 species
CAGUAGCCGCGGGAAUACGUAGGUGGCAAGCGUUGUCCGGAAUUAUUGGGCGUAAAGGGCUCGCAGGCGGUUUCUUAAGUCUGAUGUGAAAGCCCCCGGCUCAACCGGGGAGGGUCAUUGGAAACUGAGAAACUUGAGUGCAGAAGAGGAGAGUGGAAUUCCACGUGUAGCGGUGAAAUGCGUAGAGAUGUGGAGGAACACCAGUGGCGAAGGCGACUCUCUGGUCUGUAACUGACGCUGAGGAGCGAAAGCGCGGGGAGCGAACAGGAUUAGAUACCCCCGUAGUCCCUGUCUCUUAUAC